UACGUAGGGGGCAAGCGUUGUCCGGAAUCAUUGGGCGUAAAACGCGUGUAGGCGGCCCGGUAAGUCCGCUGUAAAAGUCCAGGGCUCAACCCUGGAAAGCCGGUGGAUACUGUCGGGCUCGAGUCCGGAAGAGGCGAGUGGAAUCCUGGUGUAGCGGUGAAAUGCGCAGAUAUCAGGAGGAACACCGAUGGCGAAGGCAGCUCGCUGGGACGGUACUGACGCUGAGGCGCGAAAGCGUGGGGAUCAAACAGG
rnacentral:rRNA from 1 species